UGCGUAUGCGUCCAGGAAAGUUAUUUGUUAAAGCCUUCGGCUUAACCGGAGAUAUGCAAGUAAAACUAUCUGGAUAGAGUUUAAGAGAGGAAAAUGGAAUUCCUGGUGUAGCGGUGACAUGCGUAGAUAUCAGGAGGAACAUCAAUGGCGAAGGCAGUUUUCUGGAUUAAAACUGACGCUGAGGCACGAAAGCGUGGGGAGCAAACAGGAUUAGAUACCCUGGUAGUCC
rnacentral:rRNA from 1 species